UAACCUCCCAAACCCAAUGUGAACGUUACCAAACUGUUGCCUCGGCGGGAUCUCUGCCCCGGGUGCGUCGCAGCCCCGGACCAAGGCGCCCGCCGGAGGACCAACCAAAACUCUUAUUGUAUACCCCCUCGCGGGUUUUUUACUAUCUGAGCCAUCUCGGCGCCCCUCGUGGGCGUUUCGAAAAUGAAUCAAAACUUUCAACAACGGAUCUCUUGGUUCUGGCAUCGAUGAAGAACGCAGCGAAAUGCGAUAAGUAAUGUGAAUUGCAGAAUUCAGUGAAUCAUCGAAUCUUUGAACGCACAUUGCGCCCGCCAGUAUUCUGGCGGGCAUGCCUGUCCGAGCGUCAUUUCAACCCUCGAACCCCUCCGGGGGGUCGGCGUUGGGGAUCGGCCCUUUACGGGGCCGGCCCCGAAAUACAGUGGCGGUCUCGCCGCAGCCUCUCCUGCGCAGUAGUUUGCACACUCGCAUCGGGAGCGCGGCGCGUCCACAGCCGUUAAACACCCCAAACUUCUGAAAUGUUGACCUCGGAUCAGGUAGGAAUACCCGCUGAACUUAAGCAUAUCAAUAAGCGGAGGAA
rnacentral:rRNA from 1 species